rnacentral:rRNA from 1 species
AACGAACGCUGGCGGCAGGCUUAACACAUGCAUGUCGAACGGAUCCUUCGGGAUUAGUGGCAGACGGGUGAGUAACGCGUGGGAACGUACCCUUUGCUACGGAAUAACUCAGGGAAACUUGAGCUAAUACCGUAUGUGCCCUACGGGGGAAAGAUUUAUCGGCAAAGGAUCGGCCCGCGUUGGAUUAGCUAGUUGGUGGGGUAAUGGCCUACCAAGGCGACGAUCCAUAGCUGGUCUGAGAGGAUGAUCAGCCACACUGGGACUGAGACACGGCCCAGACUCCUACGGGAGGCAGCAGUGGGGAAUAUUGGACAAUGGGCGCAAGCCUGAUCCAGCCAUGCCGCGUGAGUGAUGAAGGUCUUAGGAUUGUAAAGCUCUUUCACCGGUGAAGAUAAUGACGGUAGCCGGAGAAGAAGCCCCGGCUAACUUCGUG